rnacentral:rRNA from 1 species
AGAGUUUGAUUCUGGCUCAGAACGAACGCUGGCAGCGUGGAUUAGGCAUGCAAGUCGAACGAGAAUCCGUGGACCUGAUCCUUCGGGUGAAGGACCGUGGAGGAGAGUGGCGGAAGGGUGAGUAUCGCGUGGGUAAUCUGCCGUCAAGUCGGGGAUAACUUGGUGAAAACCGGGCUAAUACCGGAUGUGGUCGUUCCGUGAUGCGGAGUUGACCAAAGAUGGGGAUCUGCUUCGGUGGACCUGUCGCUUGAUGAGGAGCCUGCGUCCUAUCAGCUUGUUGGUGAGGUAAUGGCUCACCAAGGCUUACGGGUAGCUGGUCUGAGAGGUCGGUCAGCCACACUGGGACUGAGACACUGCCCAGACUCCUACGGGAGGCUGCAGUCGAGGAUCAUUCGCAAUGCGCGAAAGCGUGACGAUGCGACGCUGCGUGGAGGAUGACGGCCUUCGGGUUGUAAACUCCUGUCAUUCGGGAACAACGGUCCGAGUACGAAUACUACUUGGAUUUGAUAGUACCGAAAGAGGAAGCCACGGCUAACUCUGUGCCAGCAGCCGCGGUAAUGCAGAGGUGGCGAGCGUUGUUCGGAUUUACUGGGCGUAAAGGGUGCGUAGGUGGUUCUGUGUGUCGGGUGUGAAAUCUCACCGCUCAACGGUGAAACUGCACUCGAAACUGCAGAACUGGAGUGCGGGAGAGGAGAGUGGAAUUCUUGUUGUAGCGGUGGAAUGCGUUGAUAUCAAGAAGAACACCGGUGGCGAAGGCGGCUCUCUGGAACGCUACUGACACUGAGGCACGAAAGUUGGGGGAGUGAACAGGAUUAGAUACCCUGGUAAUCCCAACCGUAAACGAUGUACACUUGGUGUGGGGAGAUUUGACCCUCUCCGUGCCGGAGCUAACGUAUUAAGUGUACCGCCUGGGGAGUACGGCCGCAAGGUUAAAACUCAAAGAAAUUGACGGGGGCCCGCACAAGCGGAGGAGCAUGUGGCUCAAUUCGAUGCAACGCGAAGAACCUUACCAGGGCUUGACAUGCAGCUGCAAGCCCCCUGAGAGGGGGGAAGCCUUCGAGGGCGCUGCACAGGUGCUGCAUGGCUGUCGUCAGUUCGUGCCGUGAGGUGUUGGGUUAAGUCCCGCAACGAACGCAACCCUUGUGUCUAGUUGCCAGCGCAGGUGAUGAGCUUGCGAGCACUUUAGACAGACUGCCCGUGCAAGCGGGAGGAAGGUGGGGAUGACGUCAAGUCAGUAUGGCCCUUAUGCCCUGGGCUGCACACGUGCUACAAUGGCUGGCACAAUGGGACGCAAUGCCGCGAGGUGGAGCCAAUCCCCAAAGCCAGCCCCAGUUCGGAUUGGAGUCUGCAAUUCGACUCCAUGAAGUGGGAUUCGCUAGUAAUGGCGCAUCAGCUACGGCGCCGUGAAUACGUUCCCGGGCCUUGUACACACCGCCCGUCACAUCAUGAAAGCCUUCUGCACCCGAAGUCGCCGGUCCAACCCGCCUCUAGUGGGAGGAAAGCGCCGAAGGUGUGGGUGGUGAUUGG